rnacentral:lncRNA from 1 species
CUGAAAGCGACAUAUCCGACCUUCUGGAGCUGGCGGGGGAGUUCUCUCUGGUGCCCAACCCGGAGUUGACCUCUCUCCAGCGGCUGUUCACCGUUGACGACAUCCGGGUCGGCGCCACCUCCCGCAAGGCGAUCCCUGCGCUCGUUGACCUGCUCAAGCCGAUCCCGGACAGGCCCGGCGCGCCGUUCCUCGCCCUGCGUCUGCUGACUCAGCUGGCGAUAGACUGCCCCACCAAUAUGGCCCUGAUGGUCGAGGCCGGGGCCCUCGAGGCGUUGACCAAGUACCUCUCGCUGGGCCCACAGGACGCCACCGAGGAAGCCGCGACCGAUCUCCUCGGGAUCCUCUUCAGCAGCGCCGAGAUAACGCGGCACGAGUCCGCCUCCGGCGCCGUCAGCCAGCUCGUCGCCGUCCUCCGUCUCGGGGGGAG